UUGAAUAUAUUUUAAAGGUAUAGCCGAGCGGCUAUACUAUUUGAACAUUGGAUAUAUUUAAAAGGUAUAGCCGCCCGGCUAUACUCUUAAUAAA
rnacentral:miRNA from 1 species